UGGCUCAGGACGAACGCUGGCGGCGUGCCUAAUACAUGCAAGUCGAGCGAGCGGAACUAACAGAUUUACUUCGGUAAUGACGUUAGGAAAGCGAGCGGCGGAUGGGUGAGUAACACGUGGGGAACCUGCCCCAUAGUCUGGGAUACCACUUGGAAACAGGUGCUAAUACCGGAUAAGAAAGCAGAUCGCAUGAUCAGCUUUUAAAAGGCGGCGUAAGCUGUCGCUAUGGGAUGGCCCCGCGGUGCAUUAGCUAGUUGGCAAGGUAAAGGCUUACCAAGGCGAUGAUGCAUAGCCGAGUUGAGAGACUGAUCGGCCACAUUGGGACUGAGACACGGCCCAAACUCCUACGGGAGGCAGCAGUAGGGAAUCUUCCACAAUGGACGCAAGUCUGAUGGAGCAACGCCGCGUGAGUGAAGAAGGUUUUCGGAUCGUAAAGCUCUGUUGUUGGUGAAGAAGGAUAGAGGUAGUAACUGGNCUUUAUUUGACGGUAAUCAACCAGAAAGUCACGGCUAACUACGUGCCAGCAGCCGCGGUAAUACGUAGGUGGCAAGCGUUGUCCGGAUUUAUUGGGCGUAAAGCGAGCGCAGGCGGAAGAAUAAGUCUGAUGUGAAAGCCCUCGGCUUAACCGAGGAACUGCAUCGGAAACUGUUUUUCUUGAGUGCAGA
rnacentral:rRNA from 1 species